UGGAGCAUGGUCAGCGACAAGGACCUCAAGAAGAUAGCCGUCGUGUACUCAUUGACACAAGCAUUGCUAUGCUGCAAUUACAUCAUCUUCGGCUUCAGAAGCAAGUACGGCAAUGUUCGAAAUUAUAUGCUGUACUUCGACAUUUACUUCGGUACGGAGUGCUUCCUAAACAGUUGUACAGGGGUCAUACUCUUCAGCGGCAUGCAAAA
rnacentral:lncRNA from 1 species